UUCAAAAUUUAAUACAAGACGACGACGUUGUAAAAGGCGAUAGUUCCGAGGAGGUUCUUUCUAUUGUAAACAAUGCUCCAAUGCUUACUUUUGACCUCAAUAAAACACCAGAAGAGAAUGGGAUCUUUUGAGUCAUGUUGUAUGGACUUGUUAGUUUGAUCUUGUUAGAUACAUGUGAUUUUUUACAGUCUCUGAGUUGAUCUGGUUAUUGAAAAAUUGGCAUGUAAUUGGUAUACUCGACUUGGAUGAUUUGUCUUUUUAAUUGGUGUGAGCUUAAUGCGGUAGCAAGGAACACAUUCGAGAUUAAAAUUAUGUUGACUUUAUAUAUCCUACUUAGUCUUUUGUGACUUG